AACGCAGGUGGUUUGGUAAGUCAGGGUGAAAGUCCGCAGCUUAACUGCGGCACUGCCUUUGAUACUGCCUUUCUUGAGUGCAUGAGGGGGAAGCGGAAUUCCGAGUGUAGAGGUGAAAUUCGUAGAUAUUCGGAGGAACACCGGUGGCGAAGGCGGCUUCCUGGCAUGUAACUGACACUCAUGUUCGAAAGCGUAGGGAGCAAACAGGAUUAGAUACCCUGGUAGUCCACGCCCUAAACGAUGGGCACUAGGUGUGGGAGGUAUCGACCCCUUCCGUGCCGCAGCUAACGCAUUAAGUGCCCCGCCUGGGGAGUACGGCCGCAAGGUUGAA
rnacentral:rRNA from 1 species